rnacentral:lncRNA from 1 species
CACGCGCUCAUGCAUGCGAGUGGUCCCGUCCUUUUCAUUUCAAUAAAAUUUGGAAUCGUAAAACUCGCCGGCUGAAAUGUUGUUGAAUAUAUAUAAUCCAUCUCUAUUCUCCCAAUUCAUAUAAAUUAUAAAUAUAAUUUCAGUCAAAUCUCCCGCAAAUUAUCGUGCUCUAGAUCUCUCAGAAUUAAAUAUAUAAUACAGUUGUAUGUAUAGAUGUGUUGAUGCAUGUAUACUGAUCAUUUUGAUAUUAGAUUCAACUUCUCUAUAUGUUUCUUCAGCUCUUUAGUGUUGUUUCAAUCAGGUACUGGUUCUGUUUUCGUUAAUUACGAAGAGAAAUGUGUUUAUAUGUGUGUGUGGGUGUGUGUUUUGGGCGUUGAUGAAAUGUGAACUUAAUUGACGCUUAUUUAUGUUUCUGAAAUAAAUGCUGUACAUUUAUUGAUGUGAGCGCGCGCAUAGCGGGGGUUUCGGGUGUGCCUAUUUAUGUAUACUGAAGUGAAGUGUAACGUGUAUUUCAUGCGUCUCUGUGCAGUGCAUGGGCGGGGUGCAUAGAUUGGAACUUUAAUCUUUGAAGAG